rnacentral:sRNA from 1 species
ACUUGACGGUGCGUCUCCUCCUCCCAUUUGCGCACCGCCAAGUGUUCCCCUCUGGAGGUUCAGCCGGAAACGGCACCUUCAAAACUAUAGGCCGGGCACUUGUCCGGCCUUUUUUU